rnacentral:rRNA from 1 species
UACGUAUGGUGCAAGCGUUAUCCGGAUUUACUGGGUGUAAAGGGAGCGUAGACGGUUGUGUAAGUCUGAUGUGAAAGGCCGGGGCUCAACCCCGGGACUGCAUUGGAAACUAUGUAACUAGAGUGUCGGAGAGGUAAGCGGAAUUCCUAGUGUAGCGGUGAAAUGCGUAGAUAUUAGGAGGAACACCAGUGGCGAAGGCGGCUUACUGGACGAUCACUGACGUUGAGGCUCGAAAGCGUGGGGAGCAAACAGG